UACGUAGGGGCCAAGCGUUGUCCGGAUUUAUUGGGCGUAAAGAGCUCGUAGGUGGUUCGGCAAGUCAGUUGUGAAAUCUCCGCGCUCAACGCGGAGGGGUCAGCUGAAACUGCUGUGACUUGAGUCUGGUAGGGGAGUGUGGAAUUCCGGUGUAGCGGUGAAAUGCGCAGAUAUCAGGAAGAACACCUAUGGCGAAGGCAGCACUCUGGGACGGUACUGACGCUGAGACGCGAAAGCGUGGGGAGCGAACAGG
rnacentral:rRNA from 1 species